UGAGAUCACUGGGGCCCGCGGCUCCCACCCGCACAGAUAGGCUCAGAGCAGGCACUUCAGGCUGAAUAAUCUCCAAUUCCUACCUCCCCUGUCACUGCGGGCCAGAUCAGAUUUCACUUCCUUCAUAUUCUCCAAUCCUCAUGUGCUCGAUCUGUUUAAAAGAAGAAGUGGAGAAGAGAAAUCCUCAUUUUCGAGUCUGGAGAGCGAAGACAAAAUACCCCUCAAGCCCGCUGGGAACAACAAUCUUCCCAAGAAAUCUCCUCAGAGAUUUUACUUAGGUGAUUUGUAAAAUGAGGAAAGAACUCAUGUUUUGGGCUUCCGUAUGUCUGCUGCUCAGUCUCCUCCCUGCUGCUCUAAAUAUGGACCCCGAGGAAGAAGAAGAAGAAGAAGAAGAUUAUAUGGAUACUACAGAGAGUAUCAAUUGGGAGUCAAAGAAACCUGUGUUUACCUUUUGUGCGAUGAGGGCCCAAGAUGGGCCGUGCAAAGCGAUGAUAAAGAGAUUCUUCCUACAAUAUGUUCACCUGGCCCAGUGUGAAGAGUUCAUAUACGGAGGGGAACGGAAACCCAGACCCCUUUCUAACCAUGCAGGAGAGCAAAGAGACCUGCGUAGAGGGAGGUUUCUGGCCUGACACCCUUGGUACUAAUUGAGUCUAGUCGCAGAUUUGAUGCAUUUA
rnacentral:lncRNA from 1 species